rnacentral:lncRNA from 10 species
GUGGCAACCAGGAAGGAAUGGAAAAAAAAUUCUUUUCUCUACAGCAAAUUAAUGUGAGGAAGCUCCUCCAAUCCUCUGGCUAUUUAAGGUUCAAAAUCAAGUGCCUAGGGAAAAUUCCAAUGGAUGAUUUUCUGGGAGCUAUCUUGUCUACCUUGAGGUUCCUGAACAAUGAAUUCCCAUUAAUGAGCAGUCUUCAUUACAACUGUAAUGUUAUUUAUAGAACAACAUUAAUCCAUUAAAGCUAACCUAUUUUUCAAUAUUUAUGAUAAUCUAUGUACAUAUAUUGUCUGUCCAUAUGUAUUUGUAAAUAGGUUGUAUAUAAUGUCAGGUUUGGGUCUUGGGUUCAAGUGUAUAUAUUCCUGUAAGUUUCUUAACUGCAUUUUGAUGAAUUCACAUUAUGUAACUAUAAGAAUUGUCCCAAAAGUACCUGUACAGAAAAUUGAAUAUUGAAAAAUUGACAAAUUGUGUACAAACACUAAAAAAAACUUGUUUAAAUUGUAUUUGCAAUAAACAACAUCAAAUUUUUUCAUGAAAUCUUGGUACAAAUUCAGAUCUCUUAUUUAAAAUUUAAAUAAGGAAUACAUUUUCAAAAUGCAGUAAUCAAAAUGUGAUCUAGUGUAAUGAAAUAAAAUGUGAUCUAGUGUAAUGGAAGACCUUUGAGAACCUGGGUGUAUUAACUUUGUGUAUAUAGUGUAAAUAUCCCCACUGUACUGUUAGAGGCCAACAAUUCUAGUAUGGCUUGUUGGCAAAGAGUGCUACACCGUUUCAAUGAAACAAUGUAUGUUUGUUUUAACUGAACUAAAAUAAAUACAUGCUUAAUCC